UAAAUCUUUAUGUUUUAUAAGCAAAAUGUGAUUAAAUGAAAUGAUUUUAUAAAAUUGUCUUGAAAUUGAAAGAUGGUUUUGAAAAUGGAGUAAUUGGAGACUAAUUGUUGUGUUAUAAAUCAUGGUUUAAAUUGAAUGGCUUAUGAUAAUAUUGGCAUGAAUGGUUGAAUUGGCAAAUGUGCUGAAAAAGUAUGAACUGUUGAUUUACCUUGAGAGGCUGUAAAAUAAAAU
rnacentral:lncRNA from 1 species